rnacentral:rRNA from 1 species
GACGAACGCUGGCGGCGUGCCUAAUACAUGCAAGUAGAACGCUGAAGGAGGAGCUUGCUUCUCCGGAUGAGUUGCGAACGGGUGAGUAACGCGUAGGUAACCUGCCUGGUAGCGGGGGAUAACUAUUGGAAACGAUAGCUAAUACCGCAUAAGAGUAGAUGUUGCAUGACAUUUGCUUAAAAGGUGCAAUUGCAUCACUACCAGAUGGACCUGCGUUGUAUUAGCUAGUUGGUGGGGUAACGGCUCACCAAGGCGACGAUACAUAGCCGACCUGAGAGGGUGAUCGGCCACACUGGGACUGAGACACGGCCCAGACUCCUACGGGAGGCAGCAGUAGGGAAUCUUCGGCAAUGGACGGAAAUCUGACCGAGCAACGCCGCGUGAGUGAAGAAGGUUUUCGGAUCGUAAAGCUCUGUUGUAAGAGAAGAACGAGUGUGAGAGUGGAAAGUUCACACUGUGACG